AGAUACUCCAGCCAGUUCAGAGGCAGAUGAAGCAUCAGCGGUGGGAGAUGCACAGGAUCCCUUCAGGGCCUGUGAGGGUUACGGAAGAAUACCCAAAACACAGAGAUUACAGCAACAGGAUGUUUAUUGACAACAACUUAGGAACAGUGAGCAAUAAGGGCCAGGAGAUCGUGGAAAGGCAGAGGGAGGAAUGAAGCUCACACGCACGCCGACGCUUGCUUGUAGGUGAUGGAGGCACAGAAACGAUGGAGGACAAGGAUGAGGAGAACAUGCUGGAGAAUCACAGGAGGUGAGUAUAGGAAUGACACAGGAGAACUAGCUUGGAGUAUCCGUAGGGAAAGUGGGGAAUGGGUCCUUAAUGUGUAAAUGAGACCGGACACUGAAGUGAGGUGAUGUGUGUGCUUUUGAAGACAGCGUGAUGAGCGUGCAGAUGAGUAGCAGGUGUGUGUGAUUAGAAUUCAGGUGAGGGGAUGCGCUGGGAUUGGCUGGUGUGAAGACCUGUCUGUUCUGUUACAGUGAGAGGACCAAACAUGUUUUUGAGACAAAAAAAAAUAAUAAUGAUGGCAGCAUCACCUGUUUACAGUUGUUGUCCUACACUGUCAGUGACAAAGACACAUACCAAAGAAAAAAGAAAGUGACAGAGGAAGUAUAAAUGUAUAUAUUUUUUUCCCUUUAAAAUAAGCAAAAGUAUGAAAUAACAUAUUCUGAUAGAGA
ensembl:lncRNA